rfam:Pan troglodytes isolate Yerkes chimp pedigree #C0471 (Clint) chromosome 1, whole genome shotgun sequence.
GCCAGGCGUAGUAGCGCAAGCCUGUAAUCCCAGCUACUCAGGAGGCUGAGACAGGAGAAUUGCUUGAGCCCGGGAGGCGGAGGUUGCAGUGAGCUGAGAUCAUGCCACUGCACUCUAGCCUGGGUGACAGAGCAAGACUCUGUCUCAA